rnacentral:rRNA from 1 species
UACAGAGGUGGCGAGCGUUGUUCGGAUUUACUGGGCGUAAAGGGCGCGUAGGCGGCGGCGUGUGUCGGGUGUGAAAUCCGUGGGCCCAACCCACGAAGUGCGCCCGAAACUGCGCCGCUCGAGUGCGGGAGGGGGGAUCGGAAUGCAGGGUGUAGCGGUGACAUGCGUUGAUAUCCUGCAGAACACCGGUGGCGAAGGCGGAUCCCUGGAACGCAACUGACGCUGAGGCGCGAAAGCUGGGGGAGCAAACAGG